rnacentral:rRNA from 1 species
AUAGCGUAUAUUAAAGUUGUUGCAGUUAAAACGCUCGUAGUCGAAUUUUAGACAAGGACGACCGGUCUACCGUAUGGUACGACUGGAUGUUCCGCGUCUCUCCUUUGGGGAACAGAUACGCGAGUAUCCGGGAACCAAGUAUUACUGUGAAGAAAUUAGAGUGUUUAAAGCAGGCA